GCCCGGGUGGUGGAACGGUAGACACAGUGGACUUAAAAUCCGCCGCCGCGAAAGCGGCAUGCCGGUUCGAUUCCGGCCCCGGGCACC
rnacentral:tRNA from 1 species